GAUCAAACGAGCUUGGAAUAUAGGAAUGAUAUAGAUACUAAAACUAUGAUACUAAAGUAUGAUCCCAUCACAUAAAACUAUAGGAUCAUUCUUUAGUAUCAUAGUUAGAGUAUCUAUAUCAUUUCUAGAUUGCAAGCUCGUUUGAUC